AUCUGCAGGUAUGGUGACAUGGUUCCGGACACAAUUGCUGGGAAGAUAUUUGGUUCCAUUUGCUCACUUAGUGGAGUGUUGGUUAUUGCACUUCCCGUACCAGUCAUUGUGUCAAAU